GAGGUGAUGCAUUUCUGUUCUUGUUGUUGUAGUUGUAGGACAAACUUGGAUGAUCUGUUACAUCGCAGACAAUCGCUUGCAGCCACCUUAUGUUAAAGGUGUAGAAGAACUUGCAAUGCCUUAUUUUCUAAUGAUAAAUUUGAGCCUUUUUCUUUUUCUCUUUCCCUUGUUUACUUUGUUGGUCUCAGAUUUAAGUACCACUUCUAAGUUUUUAUUUUAUUUUUUUAAAAAAAUUUUCAAUGGGUUCGGG
rnacentral:lncRNA from 1 species